rnacentral:rRNA from 1 species
AGCAGCCGCGGUAAUUCCAGCUCCAAUAGCGUAUAUUAAAGUUGUUGCAGUUAAAAAGCUCGUAGUUGAAUUUCGGGAUCAAUAUGUCGGUCGUGCCUUCGGUACGUACUGGCAUCAUUGGUUUCUCCCUUCUGACAAACCAUGAUGUCAUUAAUUUGGUGUUAUGGGGAGUUAGGACUGUUACUUUGAAAAAAUUAGAGUGUUUAUAGCAGGCUAACGCUUGAAUACAUUAGCAUGGAAUAAUGAAAUAGGACGUUCGACCCUAUUUUGUUGGUUUCUAGGAUCGACGUAAUGAUUAAUAGGGAUAGUUGGGGGCAUUAGUAUUCAAUUGUCAGAGGUGAAAUUCUUGGAUUUAUUGAAGACUAACUACUGCGAAAGCAUUUGCCAAGGAUGUUUUCAUUAAUCAAGAACGAAAGUUAAGGGGAUCGAAGACGAUCAGAUACCGUCGUAGUCUUAACCAUAAACUAUGCCGACUAGGGAUCGGAUGAUGUUAAUUUUUAAUGACUCAUUCGGCGCCUUA